CUCCGACUGGACCCCUAGCCUAGGAACCUCCAUAUGCCACAGGUGCAGCCCUAAAAAGACAAAAGACAAAACAAACAAACAAAAAUGAAAUAACAAGCUUAGAGUAAUUAAUAAAUCAUAUUUUUAAAGCCUGGAUAAUUGGAUUUCAUUUUUGUUGAUAUGUCUUGCUGAUCCAGUUACCUAAAUGAGUGUUUCUUAAUAUGUAAAAAAGGAAGACAAAAAGUAUAAAAACUUAGGAGGCUUAUUGUGAGGAUUAAAGGAGAGUAUUUGUCAGAUGUUUGCACAGCUUGGUACCAGUUUGAUACUCAACAGGUAAAUGUCCCCUUGCCCUUUCACAGUUCCUCAGUGGCAGUGCUCAACUCAGUAGAGAGGGGAACAGACACUUGGGUGAGCUGGUACAUGGUAAAGAGUUGAUUUCAGUGCAAUUUCCAGAGCACUUAUUUUUUCUGUUGCCUCAUCUUUCCUUUGAACCCUGGAAAUUUAGAGCUGGAAGAACAAGGGUCAGAUGUUUGUCAAGGGUAAACUUUCCGUGCCGUGGUGGUACCUCGAAGGCACUCCCAAGCUGUAGGAGCAGAUGCUCUGGCUGAAGAUGCUGAAGUCUUGGAGGGCCCCUGGGAGCAGACAGUUGACUGUUUGCGUGUUUACCACCUGUGUUCUUUUGGUUCUCUUGGCCUUGUUUUCUGAGAAUAUAUUGCUGACUUCUGUAGUUAUCUACGCCAGCUUUGACCAAAGCCAAGUGCAAAGCUAGCAGGGGAAAGGAUGGCAAAAAUACCUCUUUUAGGACUUGGGUUAGCGCAGAUUUUGUGGUUUGUGUUUAGUAGCAUUCCCCAGUAGCCACAAAUGAACACACCACUGAUUUUAAUUUUAGUAUUAUCAGUUAUAUUAAUUUAUUCUAUAAUUAAAAUAGUAAAACAGUCUGCAUAGAUUGAAGCUGUGGUUUCAGGUUGUAUGUAUGAAUAACUCACUCUGUUGUGAAUUUUGGACAAACCUAUCAGCAGAUUAUUUAUGUAAGCUUGUAUCAUCAGAAACAUUGCAGAAUGAAUCAUGUUUAAUUAGGAUCUAACAAAUGUUUCAACCCUUGUUCUGUUGAAUAGUAUUUUUAAACUAUUAAAUCAACUUUAAGAAUUAUAAAAGGAAAUUAUAAUAAUUUAUUCAUAAUCAUCUUUUUCAUCACAUGUGUUUUCACUUCGUUGUUUCCUUCUCAUGUUUAUACACAGAGAGAUAUUUGAAAAUUUUGUACCUUAGGAACCGAGAGGCUGAGAGAAUUGAUUUGGGGAGGGUGGCAGCAAUUUAGUAAAUGCUGUGUAUUUAUGUUAGAAUAAUCUUGACAGUCUCUUUGCUGUAACGUCUUUUUCUGGUUAGCUCUGUUUCCUCCACUAAAACUAAACAUAGUGUCUAGAUACAAGUUUAUUUCUUAGUUCCCUUCAUGGCUCACUGUUGGUUAAGGAUCCAGUGUUGCCAUGAGCUAUGGUGUAGGCUGGCCGCUGAAGCUUGGAUUUGACCCCUAGCCUGGGAACUUCCAUAUGCCUUGGGUGUGGUCCUAAAAAAACAGUAACAAUAAUUUGGAGUUCCCGUUAUGGUGCAGCAGAAAUGAAUCCAACUAGGAACCAUGAGGAUUUGGGUUCGACCCCUGGCCUUGCUCAGUGGGUUAAGGAUCCGGUGUUGCUGUGAACUAUGGUGUAGGUUGCAGACGCGGCUCGGAUCCCACGUUGCUGUAGCUCUGGCAUAGGCCGGAGGCUACAGCUCCGAUUUGACCCCUAGCCUGGGAACCUCCAUAUGCCGCAGGAGCGGCCCAAGAAACAGCAAAAAGACACACACACAUAAAAAAAAAAAA
ensembl:lncRNA